UAAUACUACAACUAGGUAACUCGAAAUUUCACGAUUUUGAGUUAUCUACUUUUUCCUUUAUAACCUUUUACGCCUUUUUUAAUGCUACAACUAGGUAAGUUCAACUCCAAUCCAAUUUACGGGAAUCCAGUGACAAAAACUAGUUAUGUUCACAGUUAAAAAAAACCUGCUGCUUAAAGUAGCUACCUUGAAUUAUCUAAUUGUGCACCUGCGAUUACAAAAAUUUGUAGGGCAACAAGUGUUUAAUUUAAGUUACCUAGUUGUGCGCCCGGCUAACUUGACUUAUUCGCUACCCCUUACAGAUAUUUUUCAAGAUACCUAUGUUUGCAGUAAAUGUCGAGUGUGACAUUAUUAAGUAUGUUCCUCCAGUUUUUGUAAUAUUUUUUGUGAAAAAAAGGCGAAAAAAAGCAAAAAUGUUUACAAGAGCCAAAUACAUAUUAACUUAAGCACGUAGCCAGUUGGCGGAGAAUAAAGUUUCAGAUAUAGAGACAGUCAAUGAUGAUGAUGACAUGUCGUCACCUGAUAAUGAGAUAAAUACUCGCAUAAAAUAUACGAUGGAAGGAAAGAAUAAAGCGGAACAACCUACAAGUCAUUGUUAUUUAAGUUUAUUUUAUAAAAUAUUUUUGUAUUAUUAUUGGGCAAGAGCCUUGUAAAUAGACUGAUAAAUACCUUU